AUCCAGUUGUUGAGUCGCAAAUAGGGUGAAAUGCGCGUCCUGCAU
rnacentral:hammerhead_ribozyme from 1 species